GUAGCUUCUCUGGUCGCAGGGUACUCUUGUGUUUACUGGUCUGUAUCCCCUCCAACACCCCCAUAAGCCCCGAGGAAAGGGGGGGGGCGGGGAGAAGGGAACAGGGAUUUGGUCUCCUCACUUGGGUACUCAGAUCUCUACACUAGUCCUGGAAACCUUUCGCUUAAUCAUUUAUUCAACAGAUACUGACUGAAUAUCUACCACAUGCCAGGAACCAUUGUGUCCCUGCGUAUACGCCUGGUAACCCAGUCGCGCAUUCAUUCUGCUCUCAGAGAGCAUGGAUUAUGGGCAGAGACAAACAUUAAGCAAAAUAACCACACAAUUGAGUGUACAACUGCAAAGUGAAACCCUACUGCGAAUGACUGAAGGAAGGUUCUAGGACUUAGACUGGAGGUCAGGGAAGUCACUGAACAAGUGACCUUGACUGGAGCUAUGAAGGUAGAUCUAGUUAACUGAGGGGGUCGUCCAGGCGAAGAAGCAUGUGCAAAGGUCCUGGAGCUGAAACUCAAAACUAAUAUAGUAGGAGCUCAGGUAACAGGGAGAUUAGGGUGGAAUGAGACAAAAAUGGCAGCCAAAGGCCAGAUCCUUGCAAGGCUGUGUUUAGGGUUCAAGUCUUGACGCUAAAACUGGCCGCUGAAGGGUUUCAGUUUGAUGCAUUAAUGGAUAGAUUCUCAAUAAUUGCCUAAUCCUUGUGGGGACCUGCUACCUUUUUUUUUUUAUAUGAAAUGUAUUGCCAAACUGGUUUCCAUACAACACCCAGUGCUCAUCUCAACAGGUGCCCUCCUCAAUGCCCAUCACCCACCCCCCUCUCCCUCCCUCCCUUUUCUUUAUAAAUAUUAGUUAAUGUGUAGUGGGACAACUCCAAGUGGCAAGUGGCUGUCCAGUCAUUGCUAGAACAGAUCUGCAACAGGACAAAUCAACAAAGUUGACUCGCCAUCACCACCAUGCCCCUUUCUCCAUCAACGUUUUACUGGAAAGUUGGGUAAGAAACAAAUACUACAAAGUAGUGCAGAGUUGUUUGUGACUUUGUGAAUACAAAACUUGCUGGUUUGGGUUUUUUGUUUUUGUUUUUUUCCUAGUUGAGGAAUCACUUUCUUCUCAUUUAGACUUCUUCCCUGAACCUUCCCCCCGGUGCUAGUGGGGAUACUAUGAGAACACUCUCCGACGUUGUGGGGAGCCCUUCACGCAUCCUAGAGCAAUCCUGUGAAAUAAGCAUUAGCUUUUCAAGGGAAGCAUUUUCAAGAAUUUCAAGGAAAUCCAGGCCCAAUGUCACCCAGCUGGCAGAGUGGAGCAGCUUCAAAUACGGUUUUGUCUCGAACCUAGAGAGAAGAGCCAUCCCUUCAGUAAAUGAAUGUCACAUAGAACAAAGGAUUGCUGAGUGCUUGCUUUGCCCUGGUGUUGAUGACCAAAGUAAACGAAGACAUGGUCUCUGAGCAUUAGAGCAUUCUGUCAUUGGCUAUUUAUGAAAAGGCUUCUGCCAGGCACAAGGUUGAAAAUAAGUACAGGCUAGAUCUUGCGGUCUGUGGGUUCGAGCCCCACGUUUGGCUCUGUGCUGACAGGGCGGAGCCUGGAGCCUGCUUCGGAUUCUGUUGACUCCCUGUCUCUCUGCCCCUCCCCCGCUUGUGCUCGCUCGCGAGUGCUCUCUCUCUCUCUCAAAAAUAAGUAAACAUUAAAAAUUUAAAUAAAAUAAAAUAAAUGGUAGGAUUGGUUGAUUAGUUGAAUUCACAGUUUCCUGGUAAAUGAGAAGCGCAAGGCCUCCAGACUCCUACUAAUCAAGUAGUAGGACUACUACAAGUCCUCCUAAUCAGCUGUACUGAGUCGAGUUUUUGUCACCUUCCCAGGCCCUCAGCUAGUAGAAAACAGCCUUCAUAGCCUAGCACGACACACUGCAGGAAAGCAUGGCCCCACCAGGGCUCAGUUGGUGUAACAGCCUCUCACCAUUUUAAGCAACUAUUAGAUCACUCAUUCAGUAUUCAGCACAUUCCUUUGUGUAUGUAUUAUGUCCCAGGUUAUUGUAGCCAAAUCAUUACUGGAAUUAAAUGGUGAGAAAGUUUUCAUUUAUCGAGCUAUUCAGAACAAUGCUUCUCUAUGAGUUUUGUUGAUUUCUGGAACUGAAGUUGACAUGAAAACACCAACCGUAAACAUUAUCUUUCUUAACCCCAUGUUUCAUGGAAUGGGGAGCUGAGAGCAGAGAAGUUAAGGGAUUUGCCCAGGAUAACCCAGCCAGUUACUGACAAGGGAUAGACCCAGCUCUCUUCAUAGCCAUACUAAAACAGAGGAGGAGAAGCAAAGUGGUAUGAGAUAAUGGUUUCAAACUUGUAUUUUAGCAGGGGAGUUUUUUUCAAUCUUCAAAGAACUCUGACUUCUAGAAGAGAUCCAAGUGAAUCUGCUCUAAGUGGAAAAGAAGUGACCUUCUCAGCAUCUCCCUCCUUCCCAAAGUGGCUGUAUUUUUAGCAAAAUGAAAUUGACAUUAAACAGUUACAGAAGCU
rnacentral:lncRNA from 1 species